UACGUAGGGAGCAAGCGUUGUCCGGAAUCAUUGGGCGUAAAGCGCGCGUAGGCGGCCUCAUAAGUCCGUUGUGAAAGUCAAAGGCUCAACCUUUGAAAGCCGAUGGAUACUGUGAGGCUAGAGUCCGGAAGAGGCGAGUGGAAUUCCUGGUGUAGCGGUGGAAUGCGUAGAUAUCGGGAGGAACAUCAGUGGCGAAGGCGGCCCUCUGGUCCAGUACUGACACUCAAGUGCGAAAGCGUGGGGAGCAAACAGG
rnacentral:rRNA from 1 species